rnacentral:rRNA from 1 species
GACGAACGCUGGCGGCGUGCUUAACACAUGCAAGUCGAACGAUGAAACCUAGCUUGCUAGGUCGAUUGGUGGCGAACGGGUGAGUAACACGUGACUAACCUGCCCCUUUCUCUGGGAUAACGCUCCGAAAGGAGUGCUAAUACCGGAUACUCACACCGAGGCACAUGCCUUGGUGUGGAAAGUUUUUCGGGAAGGGAUGGAGUCGCGGCCUAUCUGCUUGUUGGUGAGGUAACGGCUCACCAAGGCGACGACGGGUAGCCGGCCUGAGAGGGCGACCGGCCACACUGGGACUGAGACACGGCCCAGACUCCUACGGGAGGCCGCAGUGGGGAAUAUUGCACAAUGGGCGCAAGCCUGAUGCAGCGACGCCGCGUGAGGGAUGAAGGUCUUCGGAUUGUAAACCUCUUUCAGUAGGGACGAAGCGAAAGUGACGGUACCUAAAGAAGAAGCACCGGCUAACUACGUGCCAGCCGCCGCCGUAA